rnacentral:ncRNA from 1 species
CAGACCCGGUGUAACUGGCGACAAGAGUGGAACCUGACCACGAUGGAGCACUGGGAUAUACGGCCGGUCGCCUGGGCAAAGAGC